rnacentral:rRNA from 1 species
GGUUAAGCGACUAAGCGUACACGGUGGAUGCCCUGGCAGUCAGAGGCGAUGAAGGGCGUGCUAAUCUGCGAUAAGCGCCGGUAAGGUGAUAUGAACCGUUAUAACCGGCGAUACCCGAAUGGGGAAACCCAGUGUGACUCGUCACACUAUCAUUAACUGAAUCCAUAGGUUAAUGAGGCGAACCGGGGGAACUGAAACAUCUAAGUACCCCGAGGAAAAGAAAUCAACCGAGAUUCCCCCAGUAGCGGCGAGCGAACGGGGAGGAGCCCAGAGCCUGAAUCAGCAUGUGUGUUAGUGGAAGCGUCUGGAAAGACGCGCGAUACAGGGUGACAGCCCCGUACACAAAAGCGCAUGUGCUGUGAGCUCGAUGAGUAGGGCGGGACACGUGGUAUCCUGUCUGAAUAUGGGGGGACCAUCCUCCAAGGCUAAAUACUCCUGACUGACCGAUAGUGAACCAGUACCGUGAGGGAAAGGCGAAAAGAACCCCGGCGAGGGGAGUGAAAAAGAACCUGAAACCGUGUACGUACAAGCAGUGGGAGCACCCUUUGGGGUGUGACUGCGUACCUUUUGUAUAAUGGGUCAGCGACUUAUAUUCUGUAGCAAGGUUAACCGUAUAGGGGAGCCGUAGGGAAACCGAGUCUUAAC